rnacentral:rRNA from 1 species
AGAGGACCGGGAUGGACAUACCUCUGGUGUACCAGUUGUCGUGCCAACGGCAUAGCUGGGUAGCUAUGUAUGGACGGGAUAAGUGCUGAAAGCAUCUAAGCAUGAAGCCCCCCUCAAGAUGAGAUUUCCCAACUUCGGUUAUAAGAUCCCUCGAAGAUGACGAGGUUAAUAGGUUCGAGGUGGAAGCGUGGUGACACGUGGAGCUGACGAAUACUAAUCGAUCGAAGACUUAAUCAA